UCUAACGGAUAUAUAGUGACAACUAGCAUUGAGGGAAAUAAGGAGGUCACUCAUUACUGAUCAACGGACUCUCUCUCGUUUACUCUCUCUUUCCAACGAAUAAAACCAAAAAAAGAAAUUCAAAAGAUCACUCAUGUCUCUCUCACCUCACACUCACUCACGUUUUAUACCUCCCACCCAUGUGUCCCUCAUUCUGCCAAAUCCCAACACACUACUCACUCAUCAAAAAACUCCCUCCUCUCUCUCUCACAGGCGCUACAAAAAGCAAGAGGAAAAAUCAAAAA
rnacentral:lncRNA from 1 species